CCUACGGGGUGCAGCAGUGAGGAAUAUUGGUCAAUGGACGCAAGUCUGAACCAGCCAUGCCGCGUGCAGGAAGACGGCUCUAUGAGUUGUAAACUGCUUUUGUACGAGGGUAAACGCAGAUACGCGUCUCUGUCUGAAAGUAUCGUACGAAUAAGCAUCGGCUAACUCCGUGCCAGCAGCCGCGGUAAUACGGAGGAUUCAAGCGUUAUCCGGAUUUAUUGGGUUUAAAGGGUGCGUAGGCGGUCGGAUAAGUUAGAGGUGAAAUCCCGAGGCUCAACUUCGGAAUUGCCUCUGAUACUGUUCGGCUAGAGAGUAGUUGCGGUAGGCGGAAUGUAUGGUGUAGCGGUGAAAUGCUUAGAGAUCAUACAGAACACCGAUUGCGAAGGCAGCUUACCAAGCUACUUCUGACGUUGAGGCACGAAAGCGUGGGGAGCGAACAGGAUUAGAUACCCGAGUAGUC
rnacentral:rRNA from 1 species